AUUGAACGCUGGCGGCAGGCCUAACACAUGCAAGUCGAGCGAGCGGCGGACGGGUGAGUAAUGUGUGUGAAACUGCCUGAUGGAGGGGGAUAACGACUGGAAACGGUAGCUAAUACCGCAUACCAUCAGAUGUGCCCAGAGUGGAUUAGCUAGUGGGUUGGGUAACGGCUCACCUAGGGGACGGUCCCUAGCUGGUCUGGGAGGAUUACCAGCCAACCUGGAACUGAGACACGGUCCAGACUCCUACGUGAGGCAGCAGUGGGGAAUAUUGCACAAUGGGCGCAAGCCCGAUGCAGCCAUGCCGCGUGUGUGAAGAAGGCCUUCGGGUUGUAAAGCACUUUCAGCGGGGAGGCGUUACCCGCAGAAGAAGCACCGGCUAACUCCGUGCCAGCCGCCGCGGUAAUUC
rnacentral:rRNA from 1 species